rnacentral:rRNA from 1 species
UACGUAGGGACCAAGCGUUGUUCGGAUUUACUGGGCGUAAAGCGCGUGUAGGCGGCCCGGUAAGUCCGCUGUGAAAGUCGGGGGCUCAACCCUCGAAUGCCGGUGGAUACUGUCGGGCUAGAGUGCGGGAGAGGCGAGUGGAAUUCCUGGUGUAGCGGUGAAAUGCGCAGAUAUCAGGAGGAACACCAAUUGCGAAGGCAGCUCGCUGGAACGUAACUGACGCUGAGACGCGAAAGCGUGGGGAGCGAACAGG